GUAAUACGUAGAAGACUAGUGUUAUUCAUGUUUAAUCGGUUUAAAGGGUACCUAGACGGUAGAUCAAGCUUUCUAAUAAAGGAAAAGGACUAAUUUACUAGAGUUACUUAUGAGGGGGUAUUAAAGUACUGCUGGUGUAGAGAUGAAAUUCUGUCAUACCUCUUUUCAAAAGAAAAACCAUGGCACAGGUAUAGGCGAAGGCAUCCCCUUAUGUGAUAACUGACGUUGAGGGACGAAGGCUUUGUGUAGCGAACAGGAUUAGAUACCCCAGUAGUCGAAGCAGAAAAUGAUGAAUGUCAUAGAUUAGAUAUAUAAGUUUAUUCUAUAAAUGAAAGUGUAAGCAUUCCACCUCAUGAGUAAUUUGGCAACAUUGGAACUGAAAUCAUUAGACCGUUUCUGAAACCAGUAGUGAAGUAUGUUGUUUAAUUUGAUGAUCCGCAAAAAACCUUACCACAAUUUGAAUAUUUAUAUUAUUUAUUGUUUUAUUAUUAAUAUUCUUCAUUUUCAUCAGAAAAAGAAGAAUAUUAAUAAUAAGGCAAUAAGAUAUAUUUACAAGCGUUGCACGGCUGUCUUCAGUUAAUGUCGCGAGACUUUGGUUAGUUCCAUUAAAUUAACGUAAACCCUUACUUUAUUUUUAUAUAGAGUA
rnacentral:rRNA from 1 species